rnacentral:rRNA from 1 species
CUCAGAACGAACGCUGGCGGCGUGCCUAACACAUGCAAGUCGAGCGCGAAUGGAGCAAUCCUAGUAGAGCGGCGCACGGGUGCGUAACACGUGGGUAAUCUGACCUGGAAGACCGGAAUAACCUGCCGAAAGGCUGGCUAAUGCCGGAUAAGCCUACGGGUUCCUCGGAACCUGAAGGAAAAGGUGGCCUCUGUAUACAAGCUAUCACUUCCAGAUGAGCCCGCGGCCCAUCAGUUAGUUGGCGGGGUAAUGGCCCACCAAGACUACGACGGGUAGCUGGUCUGAGAGGACGAUCAGCCACACUGGAACUGAGACACGGUCCAGACUCCUACGGGAGGCAGCAGUGGGGGAAUUUUGCACAAUGGGCGAAAGCCUGAUGCAGCAACGCCGCGUGUGUGAUGAAGGUCUUCGGAUUGUAAAGCACUUUCGACCGGGACGAACACCCCUUGGCCAAUAUCCAAGGGCCUGACGGUACCGGGAGAAGAAGCACCGGCUAACUCUGUGCCAGCAGCCGCGGUAA